GGAAGCGUGGCAGAGUGGUCGAUUGCACCUGUCUUGAAAACAGGAGUCUCUUAACGGGGACCGUGAGUUCGAAUCUCACCGCUUCCGCAA
rnacentral:tRNA from 1 species